rnacentral:lncRNA from 1 species
GUAGCUUAUUUUGACUCUUCCUUUGAUUAAACAAUUCAGACCCUUGGCUCUUAUUGUUCUUGCUGGUGUGGUAUGUUCACGGCUGAAAAGAUGGUCAGAAGGGGAAAGGAGGAAGUGAGAAGAAAGAAACAGGGAAAUGCAGGCUGAGGAAUUACCAAGGAGGCAGGAGGUGGAGCAAAACACACCAAGCCUGGUGCCAAUCAUUGACAAUAUUAUGACCCUGCAUGUGAUGGAUCAGCUGACACCAUCCAGAUCGGUAAACUGGUUCAUCUGAUCUUGUGCCCUCCACCCAGGAACUGACUCAGCGCAAGAAGACAGCUUCGACUCCUUGUGAUUUCAUCCCUAACCAAUCAGCACUCCUGGCUCACUGGCUUCCCCCAACCCACCAAAUUGUCCUUAAAAACUCUGCUCUCCAAACGCUGGGGGAGACUGAUUUGAGUAAUAAUAAAACCCUGGUCUCCUGCACA